GGAAGGAACCUAAGAUGGCGGGAGGAAGCGUAGAAUAAAACAUUGAAGGAAGUUCGCGGUCUGACAAAAUGCCUCGUUCUAAGAAAGCGGUUACAAAGAAGGUUAACUACAAAGAAAUGAGUGAUAGUGAAGACAAUUCAGCUGGGUCAGGCAGUGAUUUUGAUGAUGACGAGGAUCCAGAUAAAAUUGAAGUUCCAGGUGGGGGCAAAGAUUUAGCUACAGCAGCUGCCAUAAGCACUUUGAAGGAGGAGGCUAAGGACAGUAAAGUCAAGGCAGAAGAUGGAAUUGCCAGCACUGAUGCUGCAGGGAACCAGGCAGGCAGCAAACUUCCUGGUGGACUGGUGACCAAAGGCAACUCUUCACUGGGUUACGAAAAGGUUCGUGUUGGAGCAGGACCUGGUCAGAUGCCAUUUCCGUUUGCCUCGCCAGGGCUCUUUCCCAAUAUGGGCUUUUACCCUGGCAUGGCUGGAAUUCCACAACAUGCAAUGAAUGCAGCAUUACUUCAGCAAUCAAUGGAUAUGGGCGCAUUAAAUGCAAUGGGACCCAUGAAUCCUUUAACAGCAUUGGGUGCUCUUGGAUUGAACCAUAUGAAUAUGCCACUGAACUCAUUUAUGAUGCAGCCAAAUGGAAGCCUUUUGACCCAGAUGAUGCAAGCAAGUGGUAUGAAUGCCAUGCACCAAGGCUGGGCUGGUGGCCUUCCAGGCAAAAUGGUGUCUCAGCUCUGGAUGAAUGAUGAAAGCAAGAUGAAUGCCCUAAGUGGUGUCCACGAGGAGGAGGAAGUCGAUGACGAAGAAAUGGGUGUGGCCGAGACAUAUGCAGACUACAUGCCUUCAAAGUUGAAACUGGGAAGGAAACAUCCAGAUCCUGUUGUGGAAACUGCAUCACUGUCCAGUGUAGAACCAACGGAUGUGUGGUACACCGUGUCACUGCCUGAUGAGACGGUUCGCUCCGGGGCUCUGUCAGCUCUUCAGCUCGAGGCUAUAACCUACGCCUCCCAGCAGCACGAGCAUUUCCUACCUGAUGGAACCCGGGCUGGCUUUCUUAUAGGUGAUGGAGCUGGAGUCGGUAAGGGCAGGACAAUAGCUGGAAUAAUCUUUGAGAACUACUUGAAGGGAAGAAAAAGGGCUAUCUGGGUUUCUGUAUCAAAUGAUCUGAAAUAUGAUGCAGAGAGGGAUCUGAGAGAUAUCGGAGCCAACAAAAUCGAAGUGCACGCACUUAACAAAUUCAAGUAUGCAAAGAUUUCAUCUGCGGUGAAUGGAAAUGUGAAGAAGGGAGUCAUCUUCUCAACAUAUUCAGCACUUAUAGGUGAAUCAUCUCAGUCUGGUGGAAAAUAUAAAACUAGAUUGAAGCAGUUGUUGCAAUGGUGUGGCGAUGACUUUGAUGGACCAGUGGUGUUCGAUGAAUGCCAUCGUGCCAAGAAUUUGUGUCCUGUUGGUUCCUCGAAACCAACCAAGACUGGCCUUACGGUCCUCGAGCUGCAAAAUAAACUUCCAAAAGCACGUGUAGUGUACGCAUCUGCUACUGGAGCAUCUGAACCUCGGAACAUGGCGUAUAUGACACGUUUAGGUAUCUGGGGGGAGGGCACGCCCUUCAAUGAGUUUAAUGACUUUAUCUCAGCAGUUGAAAAGCGAGGAGUUGGUGCUAUGGAAAUUGUGGCAAUGGAUAUGAAAUUACGAGGAAUGUAUAUUGCACGGCAGCUCAGUUUCCACGGCGUUUCAUUCAAAGUAGAUGAAGUUUCCUUAUCAGAUGAAUUUAUCAGAGUUUAUGAUGCAUCUGUAAAGUUGUGGGUGGAUGCCAUGCGAAAGUUCCAGGAGGCAGCUGAACUUGUUGAUGCGGAGAACCGUAUGAAAAAGACCAUGUGGGGACAGUUUUGGUCUUCACAUCAACGUUUCUUUAAAUACCUGUGUAUCGCAUCUAAAGUUAAUCACGCUGUCACAGUGGCACGGGAGGCUGUAAAGUGUGGUAAAUGUGUGGUUAUUGGCCUGCAGUCCACUGGAGAAGCAAGGACACUGGAGCAGUUAGAAAGGGACGAUGGGGAAUUGUCCGAUUUUGUUUCGACGGCAAAAGGUGUUCUGCAGUCAUUGGUGGAGAAACACUUUCCAGCUCCUGAUAGAAACCGCAUCCAUAGGCUGCUUGGGAUUGAUCCUCCGAAGAAAGAGAAGAUAAGUGAUAAUGGUGAUAUUGAUGCUGAACCUGGAGGUUCUAGUGGAGGGAAGAGGAAACCAGUGAGGCAAGCAGCUCAGCGAGCAGUGAAAAGGGUUCGAAUGUCAUCGUCAGAUGAGUCUGAUUCGGAUGUGGAUAAGGACAGCGCUGGUGGUGGUAAUAGCUCUGGUUCUGAAUUCAAACUUUCCGGAUCGGACUCCGAUGGCAGUGAAAGUGUAUCUGACAGCAACCAGAGCUCGGAUUUCAAUCCAUUUUAUUCAGAUAGUGAUUCUGAUGCAGAUCCCUGGGAUCGGCGCAAAAAGAAAGGUAAGAAGCAUAAGGCUCCAAAGAAGCGGCAGUCGACACAGGACAAAAUCAACUCUCUCUUCUCACGCAAGACGCACAAAGGAAAACGUAACGGUGAUGCCAGUGGAGGUGGUGGUCGUCCUCCUCCACCUCCAAGGGAUGCUAUUGAGAGAGCUUGCAGCAUGAAAGAAGACCUCUUGCGACAGAUAGAGGAACUUGGUGAUAAGUUGCCACCUAACACCCUAGACCAGCUUAUUGAUGAGUUGGGUGGCCCAGAGAAUGUUGCAGAGAUGACUGGUCGGAAGGGUCGUGUUGUACAGACUGAAGAUGGUAUUCAGUACGAAUCACGGUCAGAAGUUGAUGUUCCUCUAGAAACUCUGAACUUGACGGAAAAGCAAAGAUUUAUGGAUGGUGAGAAGGAUGUGGCCAUAAUAUCAGAAGCAGCUUCCAGUGGUAUAUCUCUUCAGAGUGACAGAAGAGCAAGGAAUCAGAGGCGACGUGUCCAUAUAACACUGGAAUUACCCUGGAGUGCUGAUCGUGCUAUACAACAAUUUGGUCGAACACACCGUAGUAAUCAAGUUAAUGCACCUGAAUACAUUUUCUUAAUUUCCGAUCUGGCUGGGGAAAGAAGAUUUGCUUCAAUAGUGGCCAAGAGGCUGGAGAGUUUGGGAGCACUAACUCACGGUGACCGCCGAGCAACGGAGACGAGAGACUUAUCUCAAUUUAAUAUUGACAAUAAGUACGGUCGAUCAGCUCUAGAAGCCACUAUGAAAACAAUAAUGGGCUAUGAACCACCACUAGUACCUCCACCAAAGGACUAUAAGGGAGAUUUCUUUAAAGAUGUGGCUGAUGCACUUGUCGGUGUGGGUCUCAUUGUGAAUAGUGAGAGUAUGCCCGGUGUUCUUAUGCUUGAUAAAGAUUACAACAACAUGAGCAAGUUCCUGAACAGAAUCCUGGGAAUGCCUGUCGACCUGCAGAAUAGGUUAUUUAAGUAUUUCACUGACACCCUUAAUGCCAUAGUAACACAAGCUAAGAAGUCUGGCCGAUUUGACAUGGGCAUAUUGGAUUUAGGCACAACAGGUGAAGAGGUAAAGCGAGUAAAGCUUUACACAUUCCUAAGAAAGCACGCCACAGGUUCAGCUGUGACAGAAUUACACAUAGUCCACGUAGAACGAGGAAUGAGCUGGGAAGAGGCGAUGGAAAAAUGGGGAGAACUGGAGGGGUCCCAUGAGGGGUUUUAUUUGUCACACCAGAUAAGGAACAAUAAGCAGACGGCAAUUUUGGCUGUUGCAGUAGGGACCCCUAAAGGAAAGAAGGAAAAUGACAAGAAGGCAAAAGAUCAAUUCUACACCAUUUACAGGCCCAAUACUGGAUUACAGCUGCGCCAAGAGACAUUAGGGGAAUUAGAGAAAAAGUACAAAAAGGUUUCUACGGAUGAUGCACAGUCCCACUGGACACAACAGUAUGACGCCUCAGUCACUACGUGUUCCCAUGCCUACUGGCGUGGAAACUGCAAAAAUGUGACUCUCGGCUUAGACUGUGAAGUUGGCCUCCGAAGGCGUACCUACAAUGUUCUGGCAGGUUCUGUACUGAGUGUGUGGACACGUGUUGAAAAUGUAUUGGCAGCGAAGUCUGGCCACAACAGCAAGAUGCAGGUAGUACGGCUACGUACAGGUGAAGGAGUCAAGAUUGUAGGAACUUUAAUUCCCAAGAGCUGUGUUGAAGCCCUCAGAGAUGCUCUUUCAUCAGAUGCAGAGAAGACAGAUGAACAAACAUUUUGAGGAGGUGAAAAUUGUUAACUCUAGGUUGGCAGCGGGUGACCGAUGCGAGUACCUAUACUAACAGCACGACAUCGCCUGCAACACCUCUCCUGGACUCGAUGACAGUAUGGGUCGGACCCUAGAUGACUGGAAAACUACGGCCUGGUCAAAUGAGUCCCAGUUUCAGUUGAUUUCAUGGACCAAGGAGGGAUGCAGUGAGUUGUGUUUGCAGUACCAAAUAUUGUGCUGAAAAGACAAGAGUGCUCGUGUAUACGUUGAUGGAAGAUGUGAUAUGUUAUGUGAUGUUUAGUAGGGAAACCGCAAUUAAAGCAACACAGUAUUUGUAAAGAGUGAAAUUCAUUUCCAGUUUCCAUAGGAGCAAUUCAUUUUUCACAGACUUCGUGUAUUACUGGAUAUAUAAUAAUACUUGUGCUUUAACUGUUUAAUAUUUCAUUCAUUUGUUUGUAAAAUAAGUACCAGGAGUCAGUCAAAGUUGUCAUGCUAUUAGCACAUGCUUCUCUAGUACACAUUACAGUGGUAGUUUCUUUGUUUUAGAUUGUCAUGCCGACUCACUGUCAUUUACUUCAGUACUGCAUAUUAUAGUGCACGUGAAAUGCAGCCUUUAUUUGCUUGUGAACUGUAGUAUUCUCUCCAAUCUGCUAAUUCGAUCUCAGUAUAAUGUGUGUUUUGGUUGCUGGAGCAGCUCUUCUGUAUUGGCAUUUCUGUUCUUCUUAAAGGAGGGAAGAUCUGCCCAGUGUCUAUUAACAGUGCAAGUACUUAUUCAGGGUGGCGUAUUACAAUGUGAAGGGAGCACUUGUAAUUGUAAGUUCAGCUUUUUCUUUUCUUUUUUUUUUAAGUAUGAACACUGGUAGAUAUAUUUCCAUUUUAAAAAGCUCAGUGAUAGAUUAUUGUAUGUUUUAGAUGAAGAAGUGACUUGUGAUACUGUGAUUUUAUUUAUACUUUUGUAAAUAUUGUUGGUCAUAAAUUUAAUUUAAAUGGAAGCCACUGAAACAAUAAAAUUAAUUUCUAUGGAAA